GAGAGAGAGAGAGAGAGAGAGAGAGAGUGGGCGAGAGAGAGAGAGAGCGGUUUGUUCACCAACUUUAUCACCCUUGUGUGGGAAAUUUUGAUUUAUUUCUUCUUUCUUUCUUUGUUUAUAUUCCUGCAUCAUUAGAGGUAUGAAUAACUCUGGGUGGGUGUGUGGCUGUUACAUGAGUCAUAGUGUGGGGUUGGCCAGAUAUCUGUAGCAGUUUAUCCAGGAAGUAUUCUGUUUUGAUGUUGCUGACUGUAUAUAAAUAUAUUAAAUAUAUAUAUGCAACAUUUAUGACCCUCAGCAACAGAGUCAUAAACUUCAGGGACCUGUAUGUUGUUUUUCUUUGGGCAUUUCAUGACUUAAUGAAACACUGCUGUGUGUUUGUGUAUGUGUGCCUGUUUGUGUGUGCGUGGUUGAAUGUGUGUGCAUGUGCAUGUGCGUGUGUGAGAAUACUCGCACAUUGAAUCAAUUGGUCCCUUCUAAUUUUACGUCUGUCUUUAGGUGGAGGUGAUAAUGAUAGAUGGGACUUAACAAAAGGGUGGAGAGGGUUUAUAAAAGCUUGAGAGCUUCAGAUAGAGAGAGAGAGCGAGAGAGAGCGAGAGAGAGAGAGAGAGAGAGAGAGAGUGAGCAGGGUUCAUGCCAGCGCUCUGUGGCAGGAGGCUGAAAUCUACGCCGACGUAAACAGGAUGUGAACGAUUUCCAGACACCGACCUGACCACUCACGGAACGCUGGGUUUAAAUGCUCCCCUCAUUCUCUCUCUCUCUUUCUAUCUCUCUUUUUCUCUCUCUCUCUCUCUCUCUCUCUCUCUCUCUCUCUCUCUCUCUCUCUCGCCCUCCUUCUGCCACAGCUCUCUGGAACAGGGAGGACAGAGAGAGGGAGAGAGAGAGAGAAAGGGAGGCGGAGGGGAGAGGCUUUGAAAGUGAGGCCUGGGAUGAUAGGGCCGAAUCGGGAACGUCUGUACUUUUGGGUUAAGGUGGUGUUUUGCAGCCAGGGAAAAUUUGUAACUAUUUGGGUCUGGCUCUAUGUUUUCCAUAAUCCCACUCUCCUGUGCAUUUCCUGGACGUGCGUUCAUUAUCUGAUUUGAAAAAAAAAGAGUUGACUGUCCUGUUUCUAUGCUGUCAUUAUCUCCUGGCGUUACUAUGGUCACCAUCGUUCACAACGCACGCGCAAGGACACAACGAACGCAGGCACGCACAAAUACUCACAGACAUACAUUCAUACACAUGUGCACACACUCUGAAAAACGCACACAGUCUCUCUCUCUCUCUCUCUCUCU
ensembl:lncRNA